UACGUAGGGGGCUAGCGUUGUCCGGAUUUAUUGGGCGUAAAGAGCGUGUAGGCGGCCUGGUAGGUCAGCUGUGAAAACUCGAGGCUUAACCUCGAGACGUCGAUGGAAACCGUAUGGCUAGAGUCCGGAAGAGGAGAGUGGAAUUCCUGGUGUAGCGGUGAAAUGCGCAGAUAUCAGGAAGAACACCCGUGGCGAAGGCGGCUCUCUGGGACGGUACUGACGCUGAGACGCGAAAGCGUGGGGAGCGAACAGG
rnacentral:rRNA from 1 species